AAUCAACGCUGGCGGCGUGCCUAACACAUGCAAGUCGCACGAGAAAGGGGCUUCGGCCCUGAGUACAGUGGCGCACGGGUGAGUAACACGUGAAUCAUCUACCUCCGAGUGGGGAAUAACCUAGGGAAACCUGGGCUAAUACCGCAUAACACUUACGAGUCAAAGCAGCAAUGCGCUUGGAGAGGAGUUCGCGGCAGAUUAGCUAGUUGGUGGGGUAAUGGCUCACCAAGGCGAUGAUCUGUAUCCGGCCUGAGAGGGCGCACGGACACACUGGAACUGAAACACGGUCCAGACUCCUACGGGAGGCAGCAGUGGGGAAUUUUGCGCAAUGGGGGAAACCCUGACGCAGCAACGCCGCGUGGAGGAUGAAGUCCC
rnacentral:rRNA from 1 species